rnacentral:rRNA from 1 species
AGGACGAACGCUGGCGGCGUGCUUAACACAUGCAAGUCGAACGGAAAGGCCCUUCGGGGUACUCGAGUGGCGAACGGGUGAGUAACACGUGGGUGAUCUGCCCUGCACUUCGGGAUAAGCCUGGGAAACUGGGUCUAAUACCGGAUAUGACUACGGGAUGCAUGUCCUGUGGUGGAAAGCUUUUGCGGUGUGGGAUGGGCCCGCGGCCUAUCAGCUUGUUGGUGGGGUUAAGGCCUACCAAGGCGACGACGGGUAGCCGGCCUGAGAGGGUGACCGGCCACACUGGGACUGAGAUACGGCCCAGACUCCUACGGGAGGCAGCAGUGGGGAAUAUUGCACAAUGGGCGCAAGCCUGAUGCAGCGACGCCGCGUGAGGGACGACGGCCUUCGGGUUGUAAACCUCUUUCAGCACAGACGAAGCGCAAGUGACGGUAUGUGCAGAAGAAGGACCGGCCAACUACGUGCCAGCAGCCGC